rnacentral:rRNA from 1 species
GGGGAAUUUUGGACAAUGGGCGCAAGCCUGAUCCAGCAAUGCCGCGUGAGUGAAGAAGGCCUUCGGGUUGUAAAGCUCUUUUGUCAGGGAAGAAACGGUGAGGGCUAAUAUCCUUCACUAAUGACGGUACCUGAAGAAUAAGCACCGGCUAACUACGUGCCAGCAGCCGCGGUAAUACGUAGGGUGCAAGCGUUAAUCGGAAUUACUGGGCGUAAAGGGCUCGUAGGCGGCCAACUAAGUCCGACGUGAAAUCCCCAGGCUUAACCUGGGAACUGCGUCGGAUACUGGAUGGCUUGAAUUCGGGAGAGGGAUGCAGAAUUCCAGGUGUAGCGGUGAAAUGCGUAGAUAUCUGGAGGAAUACCGGUGGCGAAGGCGGCAUCCUGGACCGACAUUGACGCUGAUGAGCGAAAGCUAGGGGAGCAAAC